AUCAAAAACAUGUCUUUUAGAGGAUUUUUUAAAGGUUUAAUCUGCUCAGUGAGAGUGUUUCUUAAAUGGCUGCAGUAUUUUAACUGUACAAAGGUAGCAUAAUAAUUAGUUUAUUAAUUGUGAACUGGAAUGAAAGAUUGGAUAAGAUCUUAACUUUAUUAAUUAUUUAGGUAGAAUUUUUUUUUUAAGUUAAAAAACUUAAAUAAAAUUAAGGGACGAGAAGACCCUAUAGAUUUUAAUUUUUCUUAAUCAAUUAGUUACUUUACCUGAUUAGGAAAAAUUUUAAUGGGGAAUUAAUAAAAAAAAUAAAUUUUUGUUAUUGUUACAUAUAUAAAUGAUGAAAAAUUUAAAGGAUAAGAAUUGAAAGAUAUAAAAAUACCUUAGGGAUAACAGCAUAAUAAUUUUAUUAAGUUCUUAUUUUUAAAAUUGAUUGUGACCUCGAUGUUG
rnacentral:rRNA from 1 species